UACGUAGGGGGCAAGCGUUGUCCGGAUUUAUUGGGCGUAAAGAGCGUGUAGGCGGCCUGACAGGUCUGCUGUGAAAACUCGAGGCUCAACCUCGAGAUGUCGGCGGAAACCGUCUGGCUAGAGUCCGGAAGAGGAGAGUGGAAUUCCUGGUGUAGCGGUGAAAUGCGUAGAUAUCGGGAGGAACACCUGUGGCGAAAGCGGCUCACUGGACCACAACUGACGCUGAGGCGCGAAAGCUAGGGGAGCAAACAGG
rnacentral:rRNA from 1 species